UACGUAGGGUGCGAGCGUUAAUCGGAAUUACUGGGCGUAAAGCGUGCGCAGGCGGUUCGUUAAGUUCGAUGUGAAAGCCCCGGGCUCAACCUGGGAACUGCAUUGGAAACUGGCGGGCUUGAGUGUGGCAGAGGGGGGUGGAAUUCCACGUGUAGCAGUGAAAUGCGUAGAGAUGUGGAGGAACACCGAUGGCGAAGGCAGCCCCCUGGGCUAAUACUGACGCUCAGGCACGAAAGCGUGGGGAGCAAACAGG
rnacentral:rRNA from 1 species